GCCGGCGUAGCUCAGUUGGUUAGAGCGAUGGACUCAUAAGCCAUAGGUCAGAGGUUCAAAUCCUCUCGCCGGUA
rnacentral:tRNA from 4 species